UACGUAGGUGGCGAGCGUUAUCCGGAUUUACUGGGUGUAAAGGGCGCGCAGGCGGGAAGACAAGUUGGGAGUGAAAUCCGGGGGCUCAACCCCCGAACUGCUUUCAAAACUGGAAUUCUAGAGUGCAGGAGAGGAAAGCGGAAUUCCUAGUGUAGCGGUGAAAUGCGUAGAGAUUAGGAAGAACACCAGUGGCGAAGGCGGAUUACUGGACGACAACUGACGGUGAGGCGCGAAAGCGUGGGGAGCAAAC
rnacentral:rRNA from 1 species